GGACUGGUAGCUGAGACGGUUUAGCAUCUGGUUGAAGGCCAGAAGACGAGGAUUCGAGCGCCUCCCAGUCCA
rnacentral:tRNA from 1 species